rnacentral:snRNA from 1 species
UGCAGCACGCGCCUAACG